AUUCUGUCACUGGCUUAUGAGGCACUCGGCCCUCACACUUGAGAAAUUGAUGGACAGUUUUGAAAAAUGUUACACCCCGCGAUCACACAGCGUGAGGACACAUCAAAUUUACAAUAUAAGUGAGUGGGUGACCCCAUUUCUCAAUUCAAUGAGAAACCACAGCAGACCCCACAUAUUUAAAAUUGUACAGGACGAAAGUGGGAAAGCAAGAAUUCUUUGGAAAAGCUGGUCCACAGAUAAGUCAUGGAAUGAGACUGGGGAACCUCUGUUGAUGGACACCGUAAGUGGCAGACCUAU